AGCAUCCAAACAAAAGCCAAUUUCGGAUUUUACAUUAUUUAAAUUACACAGUUAAGAUAGACAAAGUUGAGUUGAGAAAUAUAUAAAAUUUAGUAAGUUUU